UACUUUUUAUCGCGAAACCACAAAUGUUGCUCUCUUUUCUGCCGUCUUUUUUUGCGGGUCUAAAACUUUUUUUUUGCGAGUUAAAAAGUUUUGCUUGAGAGUUAAGCUGUCUCUCAGUGGGCGGUCUCUACCCACCAGGAUGAAAGGCCUUUUCCUAUUGGUUACUCUCGAUUGAAGUCACAGGUUGACCACGCCCACUCAGUUUCCCCGGAAUCCACGCCACUGGCGCCACAGUCUGUCUGACAGAGAACGAGCGAGGUUGUGUCGUGACGAGCAACAGGUCGUGUACUGGGUUUCAGGCCCUCCUGACCUUUGGGCAGAAAGCCGUUAUGAGCCCAGUCGAGCAUGGGCUUUAUCUGUUCUUCAAGACUGUCUGACUCAGAUGGAGGAAAAGUCUUCUCUGCUCGUAUACUAGCCACCUGAGGACACACCGAUAGCAGAAGAACAGUAUGUCAGAGGUUUACUGUGAGCUGUCAGUCCUGCCUGGAAAAUUGUCCUUGGACGAGGCCUUUGCCGCAGACCCGUCUCACAACCGGACCCAACGUCAGCCUUUUCCUGAAACAAUAAUGCCAUGACAAUAA